CCCUUAGAUGUUCUGGGUCGCACGCGCGCUACACUGUUGCAUUCAACGAGCCUAUCCUUGACCGACAGGUCCGGGUAAUCUUUGAAUCUGCAUCGUGACGGGGAUAGAUUAUUGCAAUUAUUAAUCUUCAACGAGGAAUGCCUAGUAGGCGCAAGUCAUCAGCUUGCGUCGAUUACGUCCCUGCCCUUUGUACACACCGCCCGUCGCUCCUACCGAUUGGGUGUGCUGGUGAAAUGUUCGGAUCGGCCGUUUGUCGCGGUUUCCGCGUCAUGUGGCUGAGAAGUUCAUUAAACCCUCCCACCUAGAGGAAGGAGAAGUCGUAACA
rnacentral:rRNA from 1 species